rnacentral:rRNA from 1 species
GACGAACGCUGGCGGCGUGCCUAAUACAUGCAAGUCGAACGCAUUUUCUUUCACCGUAGCUUGCUACACCGAAAGAAAAUGAGUGGCGAACGGGUGAGUAACACGUGGGUAACCUGCCCAUCAGCGGGGGAUAACACUUGGAAACAGGUGCUAAUACCGCAUAAUUCCAUUUACCGCAUGGUAGAUGGGUGAAAGGCGCUUUUGCGUCACUGAUGGAUGGACCCGCGGUGCAUUAGCUAGUUGGUGGGGUAACGGCCUACCAAGGCUGCGAUGCAUAGCCGACCUGAGAGGGUGAUCGGCCACACUGGGACUGAGACACGGCCCAGACUCCUACGGGAGGCAGCAGUAGGGAAUCUUCGGCAAUGGACGCAAGUCUGACCGAGCAACGCCGCGUGAGUGAAGAAGGGUUUCGGAUUGUAAAACUCUGUUGUUAGAGAAGAACAAGGAUGAGAGUGGAAAGUUCAUCCCUUGACGGUAUCUAACCAGAAAGCCACGGCUAACUACGUG